GACGAACGCUGGCGGCGUGCUUAACACAUGCAAGUCGAACGAAAAGAGGGAAAGAGCUUGCUCUUUCCGGAAUUGAGUGGCAAACGGGUGAGUAACACGUAAACAACCUGCCUUCAGGAUGGGGACAACAGACGGAAACGACUGCUAAUACCGAAUAAGUUCCAAGAGCCGCAUGGCCCAUGGAAGAAAAGGUGGCCUCUACCUGUAAGCUAUCGCCUGAAGAGGGGUUUGCGUCUGAUUAGCUGGUUGGAGGGGUAACGGCCCACCAAGGCGACGAUCAGGAGCCGGUCUGAGAGGAAGAACGGCCACACUGGAACUGAGACACGGUCCAGACUCCUACGGGAGGCAGCAGUGGGGAAUCUUCCGCAAUGGGCGAAAGCCUGACGGAGCAACGCCGCGUGAGUGAUGACGGCCUUCGGGUUGUAAAACUCUGUGAUCCGGGACGAAAAGGCAGAGUGCGAAGAACAAACUGCAUUGACGGUACCGGAAAAGCAAGCCACGGCUAACUACGUG
rnacentral:rRNA from 1 species